rnacentral:lncRNA from 1 species
AUGUUAUUUUUGGUACUUUCCACUAUUUUGGAUCCAUCUGUAAUUUGGGUCUUGCCUGUAUCACUUCUACAGGGGAGGGACUUUGAGAAAUGGGAUGCACACCAUUCAGAACCAUGGAACAAGCCUCGUCUCAGCAACACCAAACCUGGCCUAGAACAUAUGCACACGUUCCAGGAGUGUCUACAGCUCAUCGAGGAGCUAGCCAAGGAGGUGAAGGACAUCAGUAAGCUUGCCAGGAGAAGAGGGGUGACGGGAGGAGAAGGUUCCACAGCAUCACCUAGCUUGGAGAGCAGCCGGAGUCUCAUUCUAUUGUGGGCCAAGGAGCUGGACCAGCUCCAAAAGACAUCCACACCAACAACAGAGGUUCAGAUGAUGAGAGGAAAGAGGAUUCCAGGUGGAGGAGGGAAAGACAAAAGUUUGGAGAAAGAGAAUCAGAGAAUAUUGGAAUGGGCAACAGAACUGAAGAAUGUAUCAGAGGUGUGUGUGUGUGUGUGUGUGUGUGUGUGUGUGUGUGUGUGUGUGUGUGUGUGUGUGUGUGUGUGUGUGUGUGUGUGUGUGUGUGUGUGUGUGUGUGUGUGUGUGUGUGUGUGUGUGUGUCUUUGA